UACUGUAUAUGUUAUUGAUCUAUUGUUGAAUGUCACUUAUAUUAUAAAGUGACAUUCAACAAUAGAUCAAUAACAUAUACAGU